UAAAAUGAAGCUAAUAGCAUUUUCAGUUACGUUGAGGAAGACCUUUUUAGGCAUUUUAU
rnacentral:tRNA from 1 species